rnacentral:piRNA from 1 species
UAGGACAAAAUGAAGAUCCCAGAAGGCUCU